UUUUGCCUUUUCAUAUCGUAUCAUUUUUAUUUGUAAAUAACACCUAGUGAAAUAUACACAGAAUUCCCAAUGAUUAAGCUACUGAUCGUGACUGUUCUACUAAUGGCAAUAGCUGGUAUGGUAUCAGGAAAUUGUAAGACAAAAUGUGUCUGUCGCCAUGAAUGUUACUCAAAUGAAAAAUACUGUGGCCCCUGUGGUUGGGACGAACUGGAUUGCUGCGAGGAUUAAUACGCAACGUAGGAACAUUGAAAUAAGCACAUUUUUCCAUACAAAAUACGUCUGUGUUAAUUAUACAUUGAAUGUAAAAAAUUAAAUAAAACUUACAAUACCAAAAGAA